GAAGGCAGUAACGAAGCCACUGGCCAC
rnacentral:piRNA from 1 species